rnacentral:snRNA from 1 species
AUUGCUUCUCAGCCUUUUGGCUAAGAUCAAGUGUAAAAAUGGGAGGGAGGGGGUUUGUAUGUUACUCUCAAACUUCAUUAUUAAUCCAGCAUUUGCUAAAUUUUGCUUUCAGGAACACUAUUUCAAAUGGAAUUCAUUCAUACAAUUAUCAAAUAUUUAUUG